AGGACGAACGCUGGCGGCGUGCUUAACACAUGCAAGUCGAACGGUAAGGCCCCUUCGGGGGUACACGAGUGGCGAACGGGUGAGUAACACGUGGGUAAUCUGCCCUGCACUUCGGGAUAAGCCUGGGAAACUGGGUCUAAUACCGGAUAUGAACUCCUGCCGCAUGGUGGGGGUUGGAAAGUUUUUCGGUGCAGGAUGAGCCCGCGGCCUAUCAGCUUGUUGGUGGGGUAAUGGCCUACCAAGGCGACGACGGGUAGCCGGCCUGAGAGGGUGAUCGGCCACACUGGGACUGAGACACGGCCCAGACUCCGUACGGGAGGCAGCAGUGGGGAAUAUUGCACAAUGGGCGAAAGCCUGAUGCAGCGACGCCGCGGUGGGGAUGACGGUCUUCGGAUUCGUAAACCCGUUUGGUAGGGACGAAGGCGCAAGUGACGGUACCUGCAGAAGAAGCACGGCUAACUACGUGCUAGCCGAGCCGC
rnacentral:rRNA from 1 species